UGCUCCGUGGUGUAGAGGCUAGCACGCCGAAUUCCGGUGAUAGUUGACAUUAGUUUCCUGGAUCCGGGUUCGAUUCCGUGCGGGCUAA